CUCCUGCCUGGGGAGACCUCAGCCUGAUCUUCCCUGGGAUGGUGGAGUUUGAGUUGGUGCUAAAGGAAGAAUAAAUAUUCCCAUUGGACACGAUGCCAGAGAGGCAGCGAGUGGAUCAGAAGCACAGACCACAGUGCAGUGAAUCAAACAGAGGAGAAGUGGGACUCGGGUACCUCCCUGCCCUGGCUCCCUUGCCAAAGCUGGGGAUUCCCACAGCUGCCCUUGCACCCACAGCUCUCUGAGGUGGGAUCCUCACCCUGGAGCAAACCUUUGGAUCUAGCAGCCUAUGAAGGGCUCCCACGUCCAGUUCAGGUGGUCCUGGGCUGGGUGCAGAACAUUAGGACAGAGAAAUGAGUCCCUGGAGAUGCUGAGAGCCUGCAGAGCAGCAGAGCUGGACCUGUGCUU